rnacentral:rRNA from 1 species
AGCGAACGCUGGCGGCGUGCUUAACACAUGCAAGUCGAGCGAAGGUGUUUCAAGGGUAACCUUGAGAUACACUUAGCGGCGGACGGGUGAGUAAUACGUGGAUAACUUACCUCUAGGCCUGGGAUAACCCCGGGAACUGGGGCUAAUACCUGAUAAGACCACAUUGUCUACGGACAAAGGGGUAAAAGGUGGCUGUGCAAACAGCUAUCGCCAAAAGAUAGGUUCGCGUCCCAUCAGGCAGUUGGUGAGGUAAUGGCUCACCAAACCAAAGAC